rnacentral:rRNA from 1 species
CCUACGGGUGGCAGCAGUGGGGAAUAUUGCACAAUGGGGGAAACCCUGAUGCAGCGACGCCGCGUGAGCGAGGAAGUAUUUCGGUAUGUAAAGCUCUAUCAGCAGGGACGAAAAAAGACGGUACCUGACUAAGAAGCCCCGGCUAACUACGUGCCAGCAGCGGCGGUAAUACGUAGGGGGCAAGGGUUAUCCGGAUUUAUUGGGUUUAAGGGGUGCGCAGGCGGAGGUGCAAGUCAGCGGUCAAACUGCGGGGCUAAACCCCGUACUGCCGUUGAAACUGCAUCCCUUGAGUGCGCGAGAAGUAUGCGGAAUGCGUGGUGUAGCGGUGAAAUGCAUAGAUAUCACGCAGAACUCCGAUUGCGAAGGCAGCAUACCGGCGCGCAACUGACGCUCAUGCACGAAAGCGUGGGUAUCGAACAGGAUUAGAUACCCCAGUAGUC